rnacentral:rRNA from 1 species
CGAUGAAGGGCGUGCUAAUCUGCGAUAAGCGCCGGUAAGGUGAUAUGAACCGUUAUAACCGGCGAUACCCGAAUGGGGAAACCCAGUGUGAUUCGUCACACUAUCAUUAACUGAAUCCAUAGGUUAAUGAGGCGAACCGGGGGAACUGAAACAUCUAAGUACCCCGAGGAAAAGAAAUCAACCGAGAUUCCCCCAGUAGCGGCGAGCGAACGGGGAGGAGCCCAGAGCCUGAAUCAGCAUGUGUGUUAGUGGAAGCGUCUGGAAAGGCGCGCGAUACAGGGUGACAGCCCCGUACACAAAAGCGCAUGUGCUGUGAGCUCGAUGAGUAGGGCGGGACACGUGGUAUCCUGUCUGAAUAUGGGGGGACCAUCCUCCAAGGCUAAAUACUCCUGACUGACCGAUAGUGAACCAGUACCGUGAGGGAAAGGCGAAAAGAACCCCGGCGAGGGGAGUGAAAAAGAACCUGAAACCGUGUACGUACAAGCAGUGGGAGCACCCUUUGGGUGUGACUGCGUACCUUUUGUAUAAUGGGUCAGCGACUUAUAUUCUGUAGCAAGGUUAACCGAAUAGGGGAGCCGGAGGGAAACCGAGUCUUAAUUGGGCGUUAAGUUGCAGGGUAUAGACCCGAAACCCGGUGAUCUAGCCAUGGGCAGGUUGAAGGUUGGGUAACACUAACUGGAGGACCGAACCGACUAAUGUUGAAAAAUUAGCGGAUGACCUGUGGCUGGGGGUGAAAGGCCAAUCAAACCGGGAGAUAGCUGGUUCUCCCCGAAAGCUAUUUAGGUAGCGCCUCGUGAAUUCAUCUCCGGGGGUAGAGCACUGUUUCGGCUAGGGGGCCAUCCCGGCUUACCAACCCGAUGCAAACUGCGAAUACCGGAGAAUGUUAUCACGGGAGACACACGGCGGGUGCUAACGUCCGUCGUGAAGAGGGAAACAACCCAGACCGCCAGCUAAGGUCCCAAAGUCAUGGUUAAGUGGGAAACGAUGUGGGAAGGCCCAGACAGCCAGGAUGUUGGCUUAGAAGCAGCCAUCAUUUAAAGAAAGCGUAAUAGCUCACUGGUCGAGUCGGCCUGCGCGGAAGAUGUAACGGGGCUAAACCAUGCACCGAAGCUGCGGCAGCGACACUGUGUGUUGUUGGGUA